rnacentral:tRNA from 1 species
ACGAUGACUUGACAGGGGUUGACGACUGUCGUCGGGUCGUCGACGAGGACGACACGGAAGCGCGCGGCGAUCGGUUCGCCGUCGUCGUU